GAGAUGAAUGAAAUGUAUCCGAUUUCAAAAUGUUAAAUUGAUAUGCGAAAAUAAAGUUAGGUGCUCUGGGACUAAGCAAAUGAGUGUUCUAGUCAGACUAGGUUUGUCUUCCUUUUCAGUCAUUCACGAAGAUUUACUCAUAAAUAGUUUGUGUUACAGCUGAGAGUGCCUAGUUUUGUAAUGAAGCAUUUUGUUUUUUACUUCUAAAAAAAAUUCUGAACAUAGCUGUAUGCACUGUAUCUUAUCCCCUGUGCCGUGACACUCACUGUCAGCUCUCAUUCCCUCUCCAGGCUGGUGAGAUUGGAGAGAUGAAGGAUGGAGUCCCGGAGGGAGCACAACUUCAGGGACCGGUUCAUCGAAAUCCAACUUACCGCCCAAGGUACCGUAGCAGGGGACCUCCUCGCCCACGACCUGCCCCAGCAGUUGGAGAGGCUGAAGAUAAAGAAAAUCAGCAAGCCACCAGUGGUCCAAACCAGCAGUCUGUUCGCCGUGGAUACCGGCGUCCCUACAAUUACCGGCGUCGCCCGCGUCCUCCUAACGCUCCUUCACAAGAUGGCAAAGAGGCCAAGGCAGGUGAAGCACCAACUGAGAACCCUGCUCCACCCACCCAGCAGAGCAGUGCUGAGUAACACCAGGCUCCCCAGGCACCUUCACCAUCGGCAGGUGACCUAAAGAAUUAGUGACCAUUCAGAAAUAAAGCAAAAAGCAGGCCACAACCUUACCAACACCAAAGAAACAUCCAAGCAAUAAAGUGGAAGACUAACCAAGAUUUGGACAUUGGAAUGUUUACUGUUAUUCUUUAAGAAACAACUACAAAAAGAAAAUGUCAACAAAUUUUU
rnacentral:sRNA from 1 species